GAUGAACGCUGGCGGCGUGCCUAAUACAUGCAAGUCGAGCGAACAGACGAGGAGCUUGCUCCUCUGACGUUAGCGGCGGACGGGUGAGUAACACGUGGAUAACCUACCUAUAAGACUGGGAUAACUUCGGGAAACCGGAGCUAAUACCGGAUAAUAUAUUGAACCGCAUGGUUCAAUAGUGAAAGACGGUUUUGCUGUCACUUAUAGAUGGAUCCGCGCCGCAUUAGCUAGUUGGUAAGGUAACGGCUUACCAAGGCAACGAUGCGUAGCCGACCUGAGAGGGUGGUCGGCCACACGGGAACUGGGACACGGUCCAGACUCCUACGGGAGGCAGCAGUAGGGAAUCUUCCGCAAUGGGCGAAAGCCUGACGGAGCAACGCCGCGUGAGUGAUGAAGGUCUUCGGAUCGUAAAACUCUGUUAUUAGGGAAGAACAAAUGUGUAAGUAACUAUGCACGUCUUGACGGUACCUAAUCAGAAAGCCACGGCUAACUACGUG
rnacentral:rRNA from 1 species